ensembl:misc_RNA Metazoa_SRP Metazoan signal recognition particle RNA
ACUUAGUGCAGUGGGUAUCUAUAGUCCCAGCUACUUGGGAGGCUAAGGUGGGAGGAUGGCUUGAGCCCAGGAGUUCUGGGAUGUAGUGUACUACGCUGGCUGGGUGUCCACACUAAGUUUGGCAUUGAUAUGGUGGCCUCUGGGGAUUCCACGUGGCCUAAAGAGAGGUGAACUGACUUGGGUCAGAAACGAGCAGGUCAAAACUCUUGUGCUUAUCAGCAGUGGGACUGAGCUUGUGAAUAGCCACUGUACUCCAGACUGGGCAACAUAGCAAAACCCCAUCUCUA